rnacentral:rRNA from 1 species
CAGUCGCCACGGUAAUACGAAGGGGGCUAGCGUUGCUCGGAAUGACUGGGCGUAAAGGGCGCGUAGGCGGAUUGUUUAGUUAGGCGUGAAAUUCCUGGGCUUAACCUGGGGACUGCGCUAAAUACAGGCAGUCUAGAGUGAGGAAGGGGGUUGUGGAAUUCCCAGUGUAGAGGUGAAAUUCGUAGAUAUUGGGAAGAACACCGGUGGCGAAGGCGGCAACCUGGUCCUUGACUGACGCUGAGGCGCGAAAGCGUGGGGAGCAAACAGGAUUAGAUACCCCUGUAGUCCCUGUCUCUUAUAU